rnacentral:rRNA from 1 species
GACAAACGCUGGCGGCGUACCUAAGACAUGCAAGUCGAACGAGCUAUGAUCCUUCGGGGUGAUAGCGAGUGGCGGACGGGUGAGUAACGCGUAGGAACCUGACGCACAGUGGGGGAUAACGCUGGGAAACUGGCGCUAAGACCGCAUGUGGUCCGGAGACGGAAGAAAGCCAUUCACGAAAGUGGGUGGUGCUGUGUGAGGGGCCUGCGUCCGAUUAGCUAGUUGGUGGGGAAAGGCCUACCAAGGCGACGAUCGGUAGCUGGUCUGAGAGGAUGAUCAGCCACACUGGGACUGAGACACGGCCCAGACUCCUACGGGA